rnacentral:rRNA from 1 species
CAGUCGCCGCGGGAAUACGUAGGUGGCAAGCGUUGUCCGGAAUUAUUGGGCGUAAAGCGCGCGCAGGUGGUUUAAUAAGUCUGAUGUGAAAGCCCACGGCUCAACCGUGGAGGGUCAUUGGAAACUGUUAAACUUGAGUGCAGGAGAGAAAAGUGGAAUUCCUAGUGUAGCGGUGAAAUGCGUAGAUAUAUGGAGGAACACCAGUGGCGAAGGCGACUCUCUGGUCUGUAACUGACGCUGAGGCUCGAAAGCGUGGGUAGCAAACAGGAUUAGAUACCCGUGUAGUCCCUGUCUCUUAUAC